rnacentral:lncRNA from 1 species
GUCGGGCCACGGCGGGAACUCCAACCCCUAUCGGCAACUCCACUGAGUCAUUCCUGCCACCCCCAGAGACAAGCGCCCCCCAGUUUGAGCGUCCCAGCUGUGGCCGGCGCGACCGCGAUCCCACUCCACUUACCCGUGGACGCCAUUUUCUCUCCUUCCUCCUCGUUCUCUCAACGUCCGUCUCCCUCUCGCGUUCCCCCUAGGCGCCGCACUGCGCAGGCGCGAAACCCGCAACCUCGGACGCUACCAUAGGGCCAGGCCACGGGGGUGGGCGAAGAGAAACGAGCCGGCGAUAUCCGGCUCUUUGCUCCCGAAACCGUUGACCCAAUCCUCUCCAAAGAGCCGGACGUGACGCGUGGUCUAAAAAAGGCACCUCAGGGGUCAGCGCGCUAGUGAGCGAGUGUUCCCAACAAACCCGAGGGAUCCUCUGCACGAGGCUUGGUGGCUUGGAAUGAAAACUCAGGCCCAAGAAAUUGAGUACUUCCCCUAGAGUUACAAAGCUGAAUCCGACCCAGACCCCGGGACUCCCCUCUCUGUGCUCCACCCGGAAGCUUCUCCACUGUCCUUGAUUUCCCAUUCUGUCCUCCUGGCUUCCCAGUAAGAUAUGGUUGGAGGAGUGUUACCGGCUUGCCUAUGAUGUAUGAGACCCUAGUUUCCAUUCCUAUCGCCAAGAAAGAGAAGAGACUGGUCCAGAGGACUCGAGGCCCAGUUCUGUAUGUCCAUGGACCUGUCCCUUAGUGCCCAGGGAUGGAAUGGUUGUGAGAAGGUGCAAGAGGAAGCUUCAUUUUAGGUGACCCUGCCUCCAGUACUGGGAAACAAAUCCAGCUGCCUAUGUAUGGCUAGCAUCCAGCCUCAGGACCACCUUUGACCACCAUCAACAAAGCUAUGCAUGCCUGGGACCCCCCUGCCUCACUGUCCCGGGCACUACCCCUCGCUUCCUCGGUCCUGAUGCUGCUGCUGAGCUGCCUGUGGUUGCUGGGGGCUGGCCCCAGCCUCAGUGCACCGGCUGCUGACCCAUGCUCUGGGCCACACUGCACUGCCUGGCCUGCUCCUGAGCCUGCUGCUCCUGCCCACUCUGGGCUGGUGGCAGGAGUGUCAUCUGGGCACUCUGCGCUUCCUGCACAACUCCGCCGUGCUUGCCCUGGCUACUGGGCUGCUGGCUGUGCUGCUGGCAGGCCUUGGCCUGUCCAGUGCA